UACGUAGGGGGCGAGCGUUGUCCGGAAUCAUUGGGCGUAAAGCGCGUGUAGGCGGCCCGAUAAGUCUGGUGUGAAAACUUGAGGCUCAACCUCAAGCUGUCAUUGGAUACUGUCGGGCUAGAGUACGGAAGAGGAGAGUGGAAUUCCUGGUGUAGCGGUGGAAUGCGCAGAUAUCAGGAGGAACACCUAUGGCGAAGGCAGCUCUCUGGUACGAGACUGACGCUGAGACGCGAAAGCGUGGGGAGCGAACAGG
rnacentral:rRNA from 1 species